rnacentral:rRNA from 1 species
CAGCCGCCACGGUAAUACGGAGGGUGCAAGCGUUAAUCGGAAUUACUGGGCGUAAAGCGCACGCAGGCGGUCUGACAAGUCAGAUGUGAAAUCCCCGGGCUUAACCUGGGAACUGCAUUUGAAACUGUCAGGCUGGAGUCUUGUAGAGGGGGGUGGAAUUCCAGGUGUAGCGGUGAAAUGCGUAGAGAUCUGGAGGAAUACCGGUGGCGAAGGCGGCCCCCUGGACAAAGACUGACGCUCAGGUGCGAAAGCGUGGGGAGCAAACAGGAUUAGAUACCCCUGUAGCCCUGUCUCUUAUACC